CCUACGGGGGGCUGCAGUGGGGAAUAUCGGACAAUGGGGGGAACCCUGAUCCAGCCAUGCCGCGUGUGUGAAGAAGGCCCUCGGGUUGUAAAGCACUUUCAGUGAGGAAGAACGCCUGGUGGUUAAUACCCAUCAGGAAAGACAUCACUCACAGAAGAAGCACCGGCUAACUCCGUGCCAGCAGCCGCGGUAAUACGGAGGGUGCGAGCGUUAAUCGGAAUUACUGGGCGUAAAGCGCGCGUAGGUGGCUUGAUAAGCCGGUUGUGAAAGCCCCGGGCUCAACCUGGGAACGGCAUCCGGAACUGUCAGGCUAGAGUGCAGGAGAGGAAGGUAGAAUUCCCGGUGUAGCGGUGAAAUGCGUAGAGAUCGGGAGGAAUACCAGUGGCGAAGGCGGCCUUCUGGACUGACACUGACACUGAGGUGCGAAAGCGUGGGUAGCAAACAGGAUUAGAUACCCGAGUAGUC
rnacentral:rRNA from 1 species